UACGUAGGGGGCAAGCGUUGUCCGGAAUCAUUGGGCGUAAGGAGCGUGUAGGCGGUUCGGUAAGUCGGCUGUGAAAGUCCAGGGCUCAACCCUGGGAUGCCGGUCGAUACUGCCGGACUAGAGUUCGGAAGAGGCGAGUGGAAUUCCCGGUGUAGCGGUGAAAUGCGCAGAUAUCGGGAGGAACACCUAUGGCGAAGGCAGCUCGCUGGGACGUUACUGACGCUGAGACGCGAAAGCGUGGGGAGCAAACAGG
rnacentral:rRNA from 1 species